rnacentral:misc_RNA from 1 species
GAUGAAGAACGCAGUGAAAUGCGAUAAGUAAUGUGAAUUGCAGAAUUCAGUGAAUCAUCGAAUCUUUGAACGCACAUUGCGCCCGCCAGUAUUCUGGCGGGCAUGCCUGUUCGAGCGUCAUUUCAACCCUCAAGCACAGCUUGGUGUUGGGACUCGCGUUAAUUCGCGUUCCCCAAAUUGAUUGGCGGUCACGUCGAGCUUCCAUAGCGUAGUAGUAAAACCCUCGUUACUGGUAAUCGUCGCGGCCACGCCGUUAAACCCCAACUUCUGAAUGUUGACCUCGGAUCAGGUAGGAAUACCCGCUGAACUUAAGCAUAUCAAUAAGCGGAGGA